rnacentral:rRNA from 1 species
UACCUUCGUUUCCUCGGCGGGUCCGCCCGCCGAUUGGACAACAUUCAAACCCUUUGCAGUUGCAAUCAGCGUCUGAAAAAACAUAAUAGUUACAACUUUCAACAACGGAUCUCUUGGUUCUGGCAUCGAUGAAGAACGCAGCGAAAUGCGAUAAGUAGUGUGAAUUGCAGAAUUCAGUGAAUCAUCGAAUCUUUGAACGCACAUUGCGCCCCUUGGUAUUCCAUGGGGCAUGCCUGUUCGAGCGUCAUUUGUACCUUCAAGCUCUGCUUGGUGUUGGGUGUUUGUCUCGCCUCUGCGUGUAGACUCGCCUUAAAACAAUUGGCAGCCGGCGUAUUGAUUUCGGAGCGCAGUACAUCUCGCGCUUUGCACUCACAACGACGACGUCCAAAAGUACAUUUUUACACUCUUGACCU